rnacentral:rRNA from 1 species
ACAGGUGCUGCAUGGCUGUCGUCAGCUCGUGUCGUGAGAUGUUGAGUUAAGUCCCGCAACCGAGCGCAACCCUUAUCCCCAGUUGCCAUCAGGUAAGCUGGGAACUCUGGGGAGACUGCCGGUGAUAAACCGGAGGAAGGCGGGGAUGACGUCAAGUCCUCAUGGCCCUUACAUCCCGGGCUACACACGUGCUACAAUGGCAGGUACAGAGGGCUGCGAAGCCGCGAGGUGGAGCGAAUCCCAGAAAACCUGUCUCAGUCCGGAUUGAAGUCUGCAACUCGACUUCAUGAAGGCGGAAUCGCUAGUAACCGCGAAUCAGCAGGUCGCGGUGAAUACGUUCCCGGGCCUU